rnacentral:rRNA from 1 species
AUUGAACGCUGGCGGCAGGCCUAACACAUGCAAGUCGAACGAGUGGCGGACGGGUGAGUAAUGCUUGGGAAUCUGGCUUAUGGAGGGGGAUAACUACGGGAAACUUUAGCUAAUACCGCGUACCAUAGGAUGAGCCCAAGUGGGAUUAGGUAGUUGGUGUGGUAAAGGCUCACCAAGCCGACGAUCUCUAGCUGGUCUGCGAGGCUGACCAGCGAAACGGGGACUGAGACACGGCCCAGACGCCUACGGGAGGCAGCAGUGGGGAAUCUUCCGCAAUGGACGAAAGUUGACUGAGCAACGCCGCGUGAGUGAUGACGGCCUUCGGGGUGUAAAGCUCUGUUAAUCGGGAGACGGUAUCAGAAUAGAAAGCCACGGCUAACUACGUGCCAGCAGCCGCGGUAAUAC